UACAGAGGGGGCAAGCGUUGUUCGGAAUUACUGGGCGUAAAGGGCGCGUAGGCGGCCUGUUAAGUCAGACGUGAAAUCCCUCGGCUCAACCGGGGAACUGCGUCUGAUACUGGCGGGCUUGAAUUCGGGAGAGGGAUGUGGAAUUCCAGGUGUAGCGGUGAAAUGCGUAGAUAUCUGGAGGAACACCGGUGGCGAAGGCGGUCUGCUGGGCAGUUGCUGACACUGAGGCGCGACAGCGUGGGGAGCAAACAGG
rnacentral:rRNA from 1 species